rnacentral:rRNA from 1 species
CUCGGUCUUUUGAGCGUUGUGGCACUACCUCUUCCCAUUCCGAACAGAGUCGUAAAACACUUCAGCGUUCACGAUACUCGGGCUUGACCCAGGGACAAUAGAUCAAGGCCGGGA